rnacentral:rRNA from 1 species
UACAUGUGGGGCAAGCGUUGUUCGGAAUUAUUGGGCGUAAAGGGCGCGUAGGCGGCCUGGCAAGUGGAAGGUGAAAUCCCUCGGCUUAACCGAGGAACUGCCCUCCAAACUGCUUGGCUUGAGUCCGGGAGAGGUGAGUGGAAUUCCCAGUGUAGCGGUGAAAUGCGCAGAUAUCAGGAGGAACACCGGUGGCGAAGGCGGGUCUCUGGGCCGAUAUUGACGCUGAGGAGCGAAAGCGUGGGGAGCGAACAGG